UACAGAGGGUGCAAGCGUUGUUCGGAAUUACUGGGCGUAAAGGGCUCGUAGGCGGCCAACUAAGUCACACGUGAAAUCCCCAGGCUUAACCUGGGAACUGCGUGUGAUACUGGAUGGCUUGAAUUCGGGAGAGGGAUGCAGAAUUCCGGGUGUAGCGGUGAAAUGCGUAGAUAUCUGGAGGAAUACCGGUGGCGAAGGCGGCAUCCUGGACCGACAUUGACGCUGAUGAGCGAAAGCUAGGGGAGCAAACGGG
rnacentral:rRNA from 1 species